rnacentral:rRNA from 1 species
AACCCUUAUCAUUAGUUGCUACGCAAGGGCACUCUAAUGAGACUGCCGGUGACAAACCGGAGGAAGUGGGAUGACGUCAAGUCCUCAUGGCCCUUAUGGGUAGGGCUUCACACGUCAUACAAUGGUCGGUACAGAGGAUUGCCAAGCCGCGAGGUGGAGCCAAUCCCAGAAAGCCGAUCGUAGUCCGGAUUGUUCUCUGCAACUCGAGAGCAUGAAGUCGGAAUCGCUAGUAAUCGCGGAUCAGCAUGUCGCGGUGAACUACGUUCCCGGGUCUU